CUGGGACUCUUCGGACGUGAUGGAGGUGGAGGCAGCUGCGGCCACUGAAGAUGUCGACUCCCUCCUAAGAAGUGUUCCCGCCUCCUACAGGAAAAGACCUUCUCCACAGUGACCAGGCUGGUUCACCCCAGGGCUUCACCUGCUUUCUCUCAUCAACAGUGGGAAGCCUCCUACAGUGUUUAAGAGAUUUAAAACACACUUCCUCGGGGUGACAGAGUUAAUAAGCCAGACGGCAGGACGUCAAAGCCUCCUAUCUCAUUUGAUAAUCUGAGUCCCAUUUAAAGGAGAAUAUGAAAUUAUUACUCAGGCUUCUUUGCUUCAUCACUUUACUGAUACCUUCUCUGGAGGCUGAUAAAUGUGAGGAGCAUGAAGAGAAAAUUACAUUAGUUUCCCCCGCACAUGAAAUUGACGCCCGUUCGUGUCCUCUCAUCACAAGUGUACACAAAGAGCCUAUAACUUGGUAUAAAAAUGACAGCACAACAGCUGUAUCUACAGAAAGAGGAUCCAGGAUUCAUCAGCACGAAGACAAGCUCUGGUUUGUCCCUGCUGAAGUGGAGGAUUCAGGAGCUUACUACUGCUCGGUGAGAAAUUCAACUUACUGCCUCAAAAUUAAAAUAGUGGUAGAGUUUGUGCAGCAUGAGCCUAACUUGUGUUACAGUGAAAGAACUGUGUUUACCCAGAGACUACUGACUGCGGGAGACGGACAGCUUGUAUGUCCUUACUUGGAUUUUUUAAAAGAUGAAAACAAUGAGUUACCCCAAGUACAGUGGUAUAAGGAUUGCAAACCUCUACUUCUUGACAAUGUAAACUUUGCUGGAGUAACAAAUAAGCUGAUCAUCACAAAUGUGAACACAACACACAGUGGGCACUAUAUGUGUCUUGCAUCGUACACACACUUGGGAAAGCAGUAUCGUGUCACCCGGGCGAUAAAGCUGAUUACUCUGGAGAAAUCCAGAAACACAAUACCUGAGAUUGUGAGUCCAGCUAAUGAGACAAUGGAAGUGGUCUUGGGAUCCUGGCUUCAGUUGAUCUGCAAUGUUACUGGCCGGCUAAGUAACUAUGUCUACUGGAAGUGGAAUGGGUCAAUGAUUAGCACAUAUACUCCUGUGCUGGAGGAAGACUUUAUCACAGUGGAGAAUCCUGUAAACAGAAGAAGGAGUACAGUCCUCGCACGGCUUAAUAUUUCGGCAGUGGAAAGUAAAUUUUUCCUGCAUCCAUUUACCUGUUUAGCCAAGAAUACAGAAGGAAUAAGCACAGCGUAUAUACAACUGAUACAUCCAGUCCCUGAUUUCCAGAAGCCCGCAGUUGGCAUAUUCGUCAUGUUAACACUGGUAAUUACAUGCUCUGUUUGCAUCUACAAAGUCUUCAAGGUUGACAUUGUGCUUUGGUACAGAGAUUCCUUCUAUGAUUUCCUCCCGAAAAAAGUUUCAGAUGGAAAGACAUAUGAUGCAUACAUACUAUGUCCAAAGACCCCUGGGGAAGGGUCCACCUGUAACUCAGAUAUUUUUGUGUUUAAAGUCAUGCCUGAGGUCUUGGAAAAACAGUGUGGCUAUAAGUUGUUCAUCUGUGGCCGAGAUGACUACGUUGGGGAAAGCAUUGUUGAGGUUGUUAAUGAAAAUGUAAAGAAAAGCAGGAGACUGAUUAUCAUUUUGGUCUCAGAAACGUCAGGAUUCAGCUGGCCGGGCAAUUCAUCUGAAGAGCAGGUGGCCAUGUACAAUGCUCUGAUUCAGGAAGGAAUUAAAGUCGUCCUGCUGGAGCUGGAGGAGAUUCCAGACUAUGAGAAAAUGCCAGAAUCCAUUAAAUUCAUUAAGCAGAAGCAGGGGGUCAUACGCUGGUCAGGGGACUUUAGAGAGGGGUCGCAGUCUAUGAACUCGAGAUUCUGGAAGAAGGUCAGGUACCACAUGCCAGUCCAGCGGCAGCGGCGUUUAUCCAAGCACCAGCUGCUGUCCCCGGCCGCUCUGCUGGACUCUAAGGAGAAACGACCCAUGGAGGUCCACGUGCCUCUCGGGUAG
rnacentral:lncRNA from 1 species